UACGAAGGGGGCUAGCGUUGCUCGGAAUUACUGGGCGUAAAGCGCACGUAGGCGGCGAUUCAAGUUAGAUGUGAAAGGCCUGGGCUCAACCCGGGAACUGCAUUUGAUACUGAAUUGCUAGAGUCCAAGAGAGGGUAGUGGAAUUCCCAGUGUAGAGGUGAAAUUCGUAGAUAUUGGGAAGAACACCAGUGGCGAAGGCGGCUACCUGGCUUGGUACUGACGCUCAGGUGCGAAAGCGUGGGGAGCAAACAGG
rnacentral:rRNA from 1 species